rnacentral:rRNA from 1 species
UACAGAGGGGGCAAGCGUUGUUCGGAAUUACUGGGCGUAAAGGGCGCGUAGGCGGCCUGUUAAGUCGAACGUGAAAUCCCCAGGCUCAACCUGGGAACUGCGUCCGAAACUGGCAGGCUCGAAUCCGGGAGAGGGAUGUGGAAUUCCAGGUGUAGCGGUGAAAUGCGUAGAUAUCUGGAGGAACACCGGUGGCGAAGGCGGCAUCCUGGACCAACACUGACGCUGAGGCGCGAAAGCUAGGGGAGCAAACGGG